GAGUUUGAUCCUGGCUCAGGACGAACGCUGGCGGCGUGCUUAACACAUGCAAGUCGAACGGAAAGGUCUCUUCGGAGACACUCGAGUGGCGAACGGGUGAGUAACACGUGGGCAAUCUGCCCUGCACACCGGGAUAAGCCUGGGAAACUGGGUCUAAUACCGGAUAGGACCACUUGGCGCAUGCCUUGUGGUGGAAAGCUUUUGCGGUGUGGGAUGGGCCCGCGGCCUAUCAGCUUGUUGGUGGGGUGACGGCCUACCAAGGCGACGACGGGUAGCCGGCCUGAGAGGGUGUCCGGCCACACUGGGACUGAGAUACGGCCCAGACUCCUACGGGAGGCAGCAGUGGGGAAUAUUGCACAAUGGGCGCAAGCCUGAUGCAGCGACGCCGCGUGGGGGAUGACGGCCUUCGGGUUGUAAACCUCUUUCACCAUCGACGAAGGUCCGGGUUCUCUCGGAUUGACGGUAGGUGGAGAAGAAGCACCGGCCAACUACGUGCCAGCAGCCGCGGUAAUACGUAGGGUGCGAGCGUUGUCCGGAAUUACUGGGCGUAAAGAGCUCGUAGGUGGUUUGUCGCGUUGUUCGUGAAAUCUCACGGCUUAACUGUGAGCGUGCGGGCGAUACGGGCAGACUAGAGUACUGCAGGGGAGACUGGAAUUCCUGGUGUAGCGGUGGAAUGCGCAGAUAUCAGGAGGAACACCGGUGGCGAAGGCGGGUCUCUGGGCAGUAACUGACGCUGAGGAGCGAAAGCGUGGGGAGCGAACAGGAUUAGAUACCCUGGUAGUCCACGCCGUAAACGGUGGGUACUAGGUGUGGGUUUCCUUCCUUGGGAUCCGUGCCGUAGCUAACGCAUUAAGUACCCCGCCUGGGGAGUACGGCCGCAAGGCUAAAACUCAAAGGAAUUGACGGGGCCCGCACAAGCGGCGGAGCAUGUGGAUUAAUUCGAUGCAACGCGAAGAACCUUACCUGGGUUUGACAUGCACAGGACGCGUCUAGAGAUAGGCGUUCCCUUGUGGCCUGUGUGCAGGUGGUGCAUGGCUGUCGUCAGCUCGUGUCGUGAGAUGUUGGGUUAAGUCCCGCAACGAGCGCAACCCUUGUCUCAUGUUGCCAGCGGGUAAUGCCGGGGACUCGUGAGAGACUGCCGGGGUCAACUCGGAGGAAGGUGGGGAUGACGUCAAGUCAUCAUGCCCUUAUGUCCAGGGCUUCACACAUGCUACAAUGGCCGGUACAAAGGGCUGCGAUGCCGCGAGGUUAAGCGAAUCCUUUUAAAGCCGGUCUCAGUUCGGAUCGGGGUCUGCAACUCGACCCCGUGAAGUCGGAGUCGCUAGUAAUCGCAGAUCAGCAACGCUGCGGUGAAUACGUUCCCGGGCCUUGUACACACCGCCCGUCACGUCAUGAAAGUCGGUAACACCCGAAGCCAGUGGCCUAACCCUCGGGAGGGAGCUGUCGAAGGUGGGAUCGGCGAUUGGGACGAAGUCGUAACAAGGUAGCCGUACCGGAAGGUGCGGCUGGAUCACC
rnacentral:rRNA from 1 species